GAAAAGGGUGGUUGCGUGACGUCGUUCAAUUGGUACAAGACAUGUCAUACGAGAAAGAAACCUUGAGGGUCAACAUCUACGUUACUGAGAAAGCAAAAAGAACAACGGAAAAAUAUAAAGAGUUACUGGAGGAGAAAUAUGAAUCAGAAAAGUCGAAUCAGCCCCUUAUUGGUGAUUAUGAUUUAUGGGUACAAGCAUGUGGAGGUCUCAAAAGAGGAAGUUUGGUAGGAUUUGCGAUGCCAGAGGACCCGUAAUUGGUUGUAUCUUGUACACCUUCCACGCCUAGUACUGCCUCGUCCUGUCACUCGAGUUUGACAUCUAUAGCAGAGGUUGAAAAAAUCAAAACUCAGCUAGAGGAAAGGGACAAAAUAGCAGAGCAGCGAGAGAAAGUCACGGAGGAGUGGGAGAAAGCCACAGCUGAGAGAGAAGAAAAUGAUUGCUAACUUGGACUUGAUAGAAGAGGAGGUUGCAAAACAACCGGUUCUUGGGGAAGAAAUGGAAGCUAAGGUGGCAAAGCUUAAUAAGAUGUUGCAUGGUCAACGACAACUUCCACCUCCUACCUAGUAAUUUGUUCUUGUUGAUGGAUAAAACUUGGUAUGUCGGAUAUUUUGUAUACUUUUGUUCCACAUCCCGACUAGUAAUUAAUGAUGUAGGCUAGCAUUAAUGUAGUUCGUGGUUGUUACAUAUUUUAGA